GAAAUGCGAUAAGUAAUGUGAAUUGCAGAAUUCGGUGAAUCAUCGAAUCUUUGAACGCACCUUGCGCUCCUUGGUAUUCCUUGGAGCAUGCCUGUUUGAGUAUCAUGAAAUCUUCAAAGUAAAUCUUUUGUUAACUCAAUUGGUUUCUACUUUGGUAUUGGAGGUCUUUGCAGCUUCACACCUGCUCCUCUUUGUUCAUUAGCUGGAUCUCAGUGUUAUGCUUGGUUCCACUCGGCGUGAUAAGUUAUCUAUCGCUGAGGACACUGUAAAAGGUGGCCAAGGUAAAUGCAGAUGAACCGCUUCUAAUAGUCCAUUGACUUGGACAAUACUUUUAUGAUCUGAUCUCAAAUCAGGUAGGACCACCCGCUGAACUUAAGC
rnacentral:misc_RNA from 1 species